CUACGGGGGGCUCCAGUGGGGAAUCUUAGACAAUGGGGGAAACCCUGAUCUAGCCAUGCCGCGUGAGCGACGACGGCCCUAGGGUUGUAAAGCUCUUUCAGCAGGGAAGAUAAUGACGGUACCUGCAGAAGAAGUCCCGGCUAACUCCGUGCCAGCAGCCGCGGUAAUACGGAGGGGACUAGCGUUGUUCGGAAUUACGGGGCGUAAAGCGCGCGUAGGCGGAUUGUUAAGUCGGGGGUGAAAUCCCGGGGCUCAACCCCGGAACUGCCCUCGAUACUGGCAGUCUUGAGUUCGGGAGAGGUGAGUGGAAUUCCGAGUGUAGAGGUGAAAUUCGUAGAUAUUCGGAGGAACACCAGUGGCGAAGGCGGCUCACUGGCUCGAUACUGACGCUGAGGUGCGAAAGCGUGGGGAGCAAACAGGAUUAGAUACCCCUGUAGUC
rnacentral:rRNA from 1 species